rnacentral:rRNA from 1 species
UACGAAGGGGGGCUAGCGUUGCUCGGAAUCACUGGGCGUAAAGCGCACGUAGGCGGAUUGUUAAGUCAGAGGUGAAAUCCCAAGGCUCAACCUUGGAACUGCCUUUGAUACUGGGGAUCUUGAGUCCGGGAGAGGUGAGUGGAACUGCGAGUGUAGAGGUGAAAUUCGUAGAUAUUCGCAAGAACACCAGUGGCGAAGGCGGCUCACUGGCCCGGUACUGACGCUGAGGUGCGAAAGCGUGGGGAGCAAACAGG